UUGCCAACAUAUUACAGUGGGUUGAAUGCUUUAACGCAUACAUCUCAAUUGUCAAGCAACGCGACCCCACACGCGUGCAUGACCUUUUAGCGUAUUCCUCACUAAUCGUCCACACGGCCCGGAAAUACGCUGGAGACGGGUGGAUACAGUAUGUGGAUACAGUAUGAUAGAAACUUUAGAAAAGCAGCUGCAGCUAACCCAGCCAUGAAGUGGGGCGAGAUCUAUCAAACAUUUUAUGCUAUGGCUUUUGUAAAUGCAAAAACCAAAGAGCAUUGUUCAUUAUGCUUUAGCCUAGACCACGCAACGACGGAAUGCGAUGACUACGAACCUCCCAAAGCACCUACUAACUACCACAAACGACCUAUUGCGGCUGUCAACUCGGCAGCCGCAAUUGGAACUUUGGCACAUGCCCACGCCUCCCAAACUGUCCAUACCAACACUCUUGUGUGAGUAGAGUGUGUGUCUGUGAUAGUGCCGAGAGUGAACGUGUGUGGGUGUGAGUAGUGAGUGUGAAAAGUGAACAUGCAUGUAUAUGUGUGGGUGUGUGGAGGGGGUAUGCCAUUGGCCAGGAGUGAGUGUGUGAAGUGAACUUGUUUAUACAACACAUUGACCCUUCCUCCGCACACACGCAGUUUGUGAAGUUUGCCGAGCGAGAGGAAGGGAACACCCCCUACCACAGACAGUACGACUUCCUCAUCCACCGCUUUGCCUCUCUUAGCCUCACCAAGAAUGUCGACGACGCCGAUAAAUAUCACGAGACGCGGAUGGCUGGGUUGCAAGGACUGAGGGGAGUGAUAAAGAUCACAUGAACAAGAUAGUGCCGCCCUUCCUCUUCAAUAUGCACAGUCACAGUGUCGCCCAGUCAAGGUAUACUGUCUAGGAAAGUCACUACAAUUUGCUUCAGUUCUACUCCUGGAGCAUACACAUACUUCAAUGAGUAAAUGUUGAUAGCCUCAGUCUGUAUCAAACUUACCUAUUGAUGGCCUUAGAUAAUUAUACAGUGUGUGCCAAUAGUAACCUCCCUCCCACUCUGACAGAGAGUCUGGUGAGAUCCAGCCUGUUGUGGAGGAGGGGGACAGUCUGGGGGGGUACUCUAUCCUCAGGAUAGUCUCACUGCAGGAGCUUAUCGCUUUUGCCGGACUCUCUCCCAUCGAUAGUGUCCUCAAGCCAAUACUGCAGUAAGUCGGUCAAUGCCUUGUGUGCGUCGGUGCUACUUGUAGGCAAGGUGGUUUCCUAUACAUUGUGCGUACGUAGGUGUUACAACACUGUACUUGUAGGCAAGGUGGUUUCCCUAAUAGGUGUAACUUAAAUGGAACUGCAUUCAGCAGGAGUUCAUUAGGAUUCUUAAUGAACUCCUGAUGUUAGUAAAGUACUAUGACCUAUUGUGCAAUGUUGUCUCAGCAGGUCUAGUACCAUGACAACCAUUGUCUCAUUUCCUGUGUAUAUAGUAGCACUCCAUUGCUCCCCUUAUAGACACUUUGACCUAAACAAACUAUAGAUAUCGGACAAGGAAUUCACAGCUGGUGUGUACGCCAUCGUCGUGGAAGCCAUGCAGAGACAGGAUCGGUACAUGGCCGUCCAGUCGCUGGUGGACCACGUGGAUGCCAAGGUGAAGGAGUCCUGGGAGACCAAACAAGGGAUCCUCGGCACACUCUCUAAGUGUGUUGCCGUGGCAGCAGACAGCUCUCUAGGUGAGUCUCCAUGGUAAAGUACUUGUAUGGUUGCACAUAUUAUUUUUGGGCCAUUUUCUAAAGAAGGCUAUACGCAUUUAUUCUUCGUACUUCGAUGCUUUCAUAGCUGUUAUUAAGUUUCUGCAUGACUGUACAUGUAUGUUUUGACACUGGCUUAACCCUUUCCCCGUUUUAAUUAAAACAAGAAAAUACAGAAUAAAUAACAAUUUUCUUUAAAAAUUUGUAUGUCAUGAACCAUACAUUGAAAUGACUUGUAACUAUUUCCUACAGGUAGCGCAGACCCCAGAGGUAUCUUGACACCAUCUUCGUUACCUAGCAACUGACCACCCCCACUAAUUAGCAAUUGUUUACAAACAUUCACAAUUAUGUACACAAAUAAUAUUGUAUGAAGGCACAGAGUGGCUAAAGACACUAAAUAAGUGUUCUCAAUGUUCUCACGGUGACAUGGUUCAAGCAGGAUCUGCAGAAAGUUCUUUGCGAGGUCGUAUCAGCAGACGCCCUUUUCCCGGGAAAUGUUUUCUUCACCUACACAGGUUUACAAGUUCAAUGGUGGCUCAUGAUGUCCACUGCUGUACUAACUAGCCUAAAUACAGUCAUACUGAAGCUAUCAAGACUACAGAUGCUACUCUAGACUUACCAGAUCCAAGAAGUUGUUCCAUCGCAAGAGCUUCUUCCUCAGACCUUCAGGCAGGCUCUAUAUUUUCUAGCUUGAGGUAGCUUUUUAUCUAGCUAUGAUCCCAGUCACAGUCCUCUCACUCAACAAGGCCAUAAGCAUCGAUAUUCUCACUGUCUAGCUACUUUAGAACCUCACUGAGAUUGUACUACGAAGAUCUUGAAACAUUAUCAAACGGUCACUUUUCUUUCGACAUUACUGUACAAAGCGUACCUCAAGGCAGCAUAUUAAAGAUACCACAUGAAAGAGCAGCUCAAUGCGCAUGUGCUGGUACCGACAGCGUGUGCAUAGCUCCAACACAGUGGGCACAACGAAUUUUUGAAAAUGACCACUAGAGUGGCCGUCAUAAUUAUGACGGCUUCAACGGGGAAAGGGUUAAUCUCUAUAAUUAUGCCUCGGUGCGCAUGCGCAAGCGAGGUAUACGGUAGUGUGUCUGUGUCUGUGUGUGUGUAGUGUCUGUGUGUGUAGGCUGCUACAGCUGCUCAAGGGUGAAUCAAGUGCAAGUAAGAGUUUUUAUAGGCUUCUAGUCAUGUUUUCUUGGAUUUCAAUUCGUGGAUUUGCAAAAUAAUGCUUCGUUCUCGUGUUAUGCCUAGUUUUGCUUACUUGAAAUGCCAUUGCAGCCUUUUCAGAAGAGUCCGUACCAAAACUUGUUCACCGAGUGUUGCUACUGUACUUAGUAGUUAGCUCUGCACUAGAAUGCUAGUUAUAGCUGCAAGAGUGAGAAGAGAGCUGCAAAGCUCUGCUGACUUGCAGCCAUUCAUUUUCGACUUGAACUUUUGGCAUUGAUCGCUUUUAACAACAAUCAUGGGCGAUCAUUACCCACUCUUCGAGUUUCCCUGUGAUUCUGGAUUCUGCAUGUAGCAAAAUUAAAAAUGUUCAUCAUGAUCAAUGUGUGUAUAAAAGCUAGCUUUAUGUUAUGUAGCUCUGGCACCUCUACCGAGGCAUCAGCACCUGUGGUGCUUUCAUUAUACGUAGUAUGGUUUAAUUCCACGCUUUAAAUCUGCAUACAUGUAUUUACAUUACUUAGCUUGUGUCCACUCAUGCAGGUCCGUCUGUACUGGAUAUAUUCCGUACCCUGGUCCGCCACCUCCGUAUCUCCAUAGAAACCGUUUCAGAAGGCCCCUCCGACCUCACGUCCUCUCUAACCUUUCAGCAAUCCAUCACUAUCACUGUGGGGGAGUUUGCAGGAGUCCUUCCCGACUAUCAUAAGCCAGAUAUACUGGAGCUCAUCAACUCUUAUGUACCCGUGGCCUCAAGGGGUCUUGAUAGCAGAGCCACCACUGGACUGUCUGUACAUCCUCUGGCAUCUCAGGACACUCAAAACAGCCCCAUGUUGACUAUACCUCCCUGGUCAAGUGUUUGAGGGCGGUGGCUGACACCUGUCACGCAUCAGUGCUGGAGACUGCGUUCCCAGGGCAACUGUUUGCCUCCCUCGUCCAAUUGCUCCUCAUUCGAGAGCCCAGCACACAGCUGGAUGUGGCCCUACUCUGGCAUCGUCUCGUAGAUGACCAUGCCAAUAAGGACAAGAUUCCUCUCAACACGUGCGUGCGUGCGUGCGUGCAUGUGCACCUUGCUAUGUUCAGUGGGCGUACUAGAUUUUAUUUGUCAGUUAUACAGGUCCAUUUUGUCUUAGCUUUCACUACGUUAUGGUUAGAACAUGGGCAUGAGGUAUCUAUGUGUUAUAGUGUCCCAAAGCUCGAGGGCUUUAGCCCGAGGGAUGAGGGACACUAUAACCAUAGGGAUACCGAAUGCACAUGUUCUAACUGAUUUAGAUCCCAACCUAUUGGCUACUAGAAAUGCACUAGCUUAGCAACAGUCAACCUAUAUAAACAGCCAACCUAGCAACUGCAUCAUUAUUCUUUUGAAAACUAAUAUCUGAGUUGGCAUCUCUGUGUCUCUACUAAAUCUGUGGUCUCUACUCAAGUCAACCCUGUUCCUCCACCUCAGUUUGAUGGACAAAAUUAUAGUCCUAGCUCCACCCACAAAACGGAAACAUCCAGCUCCUCCCCCAGUUUUGCAGCAAACAAGCCCAGCACACUUCCCAAGAAACGAGCGGCUCGUACUACUCUCACAAAGCGAAAGGGAAGACACCUAUAAGCUAUAAUUUGCAGCAAACAAGCCCAGCAAAUGAGCGGCUCCUAAACUACUCUUGAACAAAGCGAAAGGAAGUUUAGGAAGAAGCCAAAACUAGAAUCCCAGCACUUCCAUACAUCCAGCUCCUCCCCCAUGCAGCCUUGCAGCAAAAAAGCACAGCACACUGCCCAAAAAACGAGCGUCUCCUACUACUUUCGAACAAAACCAAAAAAAGAAACUAGAGCUUCUCUCUUUCAUUCUAGUUCUGUUAUUAUAUUAUUACUAGACAAAGCAUCUAGCUACAAUAAUUAUGUUAUAGAUAGUACAUGGGCAUGAGGUAUCUAUGUGUUAUAGUGUCCCAUAUCACGAGGGCUUUGCCCGAGGGAUGAGGGACACUAUAACCAUAGAUACCGAAUGCACAAAAAAAAAAAAAAUACUGGUGAACCCUACCAUCAACCCAGCAAACGCUAUAGAAACUGGUAGUGAAAAAACUGAACAGCCAUAGCUAAUUAUCAUGCAGCUAGCUACAGCUUUAUUAUCAUUUCUGUGCAUUCAAAAAAAUUAUACUUGUACUUUAUACCCUCAAGCUCAUAAUUCCCUGCUAAACACACACAAGUGGGAUCUAAGUUAUUAUGUGUAUCUUCUUGUAAAUCACAAUACAAUGUACAAUGUUGUAGUUUGUAGCCCAGAGCAAUCUAUAGUACCGGUACUAUAGCUCAUAGUUCCCUGCUAAAUACACUCAAAUGGGAUCUAAAUGUAUGUAUACAAUCAUGUGCAGUGCUUACAGCUACAUGUACGUGUAUUUAUACCCUCCCAUUGUGCAGUGAUUGGGUGAGUCUGGAGGCUGUAGGGCUCUCACUGGGUGUGGUUUUGAAAAGGUUCCUCUCUAAAACAGUCAACUCUCUCUUCACCAAUCUCCUGGAACUGGCCAAAGCUAUCUGCACUAGCCCUGCUAACACACUCGCUUUCUACCAACUCGUAUUUCUCCUGACACUGGAAUUCUCUUAUCAAGGGCUCUCGGAUAUACUGGUCUUCCUACACCAGCUGCAAGAGCUUGCUGUGAAGGAGAAAGGCCUUGAGGCACAUCACAGAGUGGUGCUACAUGCUACAGUGGCGGGUGUGCUGCAUCUAGCAUCCAAGAUCAGUCGAAAUGAGGUACUCAAGACGACGCACAUUGAUGGAGUGAUUGCUAAGAGGAGGGAGACAGCUCCGAAGGUUCUAGAGGGAGUGGUAGUAAGAAGAAGUGCAGUCAUCUAGACAUGGAGGAGAAGCUGCUCAAGAGUUCUCAAAUCAUGGACCCGGGUGUCAUGGCUGAGCUGGAGUGAGAAUUGAAACUGGCCAACAGCAAGGCAGAUUUUGUGUGUGUUAUGUCACUGUGAUCGACCCACCCCAUGCUGGAGGUUGAUGUGAGUUGAGACUGAGAAUGAUGCCCUGUCAGUAAUGAACCCGAACACUCACUCAUGCCUUCAAGAAGUUUAGUCAAUUAUGCCUUGCUGCUUGCCUCGAUGGAAGAAUGUGUGGCCUUUAAAAGCUGUAGCUGGUCUAAACCUUCAAUUUGACCGGUAAAGGAACACAGUAGGACACACAAAAGAUGAGUUGUGUCUGGAGAAAGUAAUAUUAAACUUAGCAUCUUUAAAGGUGGUGUAGAUGGAAGCAGUAGCCAACAGACAAUGGCUGAACAGGAGAAUGAGUACAAAGUCAACAGUGCUUCCAGAGCCAAUCCAGUUUCAAGUGUCAAGCAGCUCAGCAAAACUAGGGGAAUUUUGGGAAAUCCGAGGGCUCCUACCCCUCUUCAUGAAACCCUGAUUGUAACCACAGCCACUUGAGAUACAAUGUGCUAGCCCCUUGUAAAGGUACUUGAUAAUUCAUUGCAAACAUCCUAAUUUAAGAUUUCACGACAGCCAGGGUUUGGGUGAACCUUUAUGUAUAGUGAUGUAAUAGGAGGUGUGGUCAACAUUUUUCGGUGCACGUACACCUUCCCCCCCCCCCCCCGUUUUUAUCCUAUGAAACCGUGACAGCAUGUGACGAAGGUUGAACAGAACACCUACUACGGUUUUAAGUAUGUGGAGUUGCAUACUCUUCCUAAUGAAGUUGCUAGUACAGUGGUUUUCCUUUGCAAUAGCACUGCAACCACAAUGUAGUGAUUACCUCUGUCUGUAUGUUAUUUUAAUCCACCCACAUGCACCACCCACACAUCACAAAAUCGCAGUAAAGUGAUCAUCUUACAGACUAUCUACUGCAGACUUUCACACAACUUAAAGAGUAUGUACUCUACUUGCACAGCAUUAUCAUUCCUCCUACUCAUUUAUGCUUGAUGCUCGAGGUCAACAAGCUGCUUCUGGGAAAAUCCAAUUUUGAGCAACACAAGUUCCUUUCAGAUUUGAUUCACUACAUACGUAGCGGUAGUUAGACCCGAAUAAAAUGCAUAGAUAGUAAAAGAUAGUAAAUACAGUCAGCUCCCUAUACAUACAAGUUUGAGCUCAUAUCAUUUUGCCACAAUGAAUCAAGCAACAAGUUAGCUGAGCUACGUACCAUCGCAAUCACUUCAGCUAGACGAAAUAUGAGGAGAGUUGACGUACUGUACAGCUGGAAAAUUUGGUGAUUAUUUGGCGAAUACAAUACAAUACUAUAUACAGUGACGUUGUGUCCACCAGAACAUUUUAAUUUGGGAAUUUUUCAGUAAAUCGCCCAAUUAAAACACCCAUCAAAUUUCCUUAUUAUAAGGGGUUUACAUUUUACAGGCAAUUCCAAGUUAUGAUUCAGAUUGCUUUUGUUGCCUUGUUAAUACCAGGAGCCCAUAAAUAAGAGAAGGAGCGGCUAACUUCAACGUAUACUCUGAGAUCACGUGUCGUAAUUGCCGGUGGCCUACAUUAUGCACUGCAUCUAUGUACAUUAAAUUAGUAAUGAAAUUAUUCUGAUUC